UACAGAGGUCCCGAGCGUUGUUCGGAUUCAUUGGGCGUAAAGGGUGCGUAGGCGGCGGGGUAAGUCUGAUGUGAAAUACCGGGGCUCAACCCCGGAACUGCAUUGGAUACUGCCUUGCUAGAGAACUGGAGAGGAGACUGGAAUUUACGGUGUAGCAGUGAAAUGCGUAGAGAUCGUAAGGAAGACCAGUGGCGAAGGCGAGUCUCUGGACAGUAUCUGACGCUGAGGCACGAAGGCCAGGGGAGCAAACAGG
rnacentral:rRNA from 1 species